AGAGUUUGAUCCUGGCUCAGGAUGAACGCUAGCUACAGGCUUAACACAUGCAAGUCGAGGGGCAGCAUGAUUGAAGCUUGCUUCAAUCGAUGGCGACCGGCGCACGGGUGAGUAACACGUAUCCAACCUGCCGAUAACUCGGGGAUAGCCUUUCGAAAGAAAGAUUAAUACCCGAUAGUAUAGUAUUUCCGCAUGGUUUCACUAUUAAAGAAUUUCGGUUAUCGAUGGGGAUGCGUUCCAUUAGAUAGUUGGCGGGGUAACGGCCCACCAAGUCAACGAUGGAUAGGGGUUCUGAGAGGAAGGUCCCCCACAUUGGAACUGAGACACGGUCCAAACUCCUACGGGAGGCAGCAGUGAGGAAUAUUGGUCAAUGGACGAGAGUCUGAACCAGCCAAGUAGCGUGAAGGAUGACUGCCCUAUGGGUUGUAAACUUCUUUUAUACGGGAAUAAAGUGGAGUAUGCAUACUCCUUUGUAUGUACCGUAUGAAUAAGGAUCGGCUAACUCCGUGCCAGCAGCCGCGGUAAUACGGAGGAUCCGAGCGUUAUCCGGAUUUAUUGGGUUUAAAGGGAGCGUAGGCGGGUGCUUAAGUCAGUUGUGAAAGUUUGCGGCUCAACCGUAAAAUUGCAGUUGAUACUGGGCGCCUUGAGUGCAGCAUAGGUAGGCGGAAUUCGUGGUGUAGCGGUGAAAUGCUUAGAUAUCACGAAGAACUCCGAUUGCGAAGGCAGCUUACUGGACUGUAACUGACGCUGAUGCUCGAAAGUGUGGGUAUCAAACAGGAUUAGAUACCCUGGUAGUCCACACAGUAAACGAUGAAUACUCGCUGUUUGCGAUAUACAGUAAGCGGCCAAGCGAAAGCAUUAAGUAUUCCACCUGGGGAGUACGCCGGCAACGGUGAAACUCAAAGGAAUUGACGGGGGCCCGCACAAGCGGAGGAACAUGUGGUUUAA
rnacentral:rRNA from 1 species